GCCGGCUUUGGUUGCAACAUGUUCUCAUCCAUACUUCAAAACGAGAUGGCUCAUAGGUGAUAUGUACUCGAGCGAAAAUUUAGUGAAAAUUCGUUCGGUUCUUGGCUCAGCAUCACCGGAAAUACCCACAGCUUUGGUAGUACAGUCCACAUCGUUUCAGUUUAGAUUCAAUCAAACUGCAGAACGUGGCACAGAUAAGAAAAUAGAAGCUGAGAUGGACAUUGCCGCAUUUUUACGCAAGCCAUGUGCGAACACUGAAACCGAUUUCAUCCAACUUUAUCAGCAUCCAUUUGUGGAAAAAUUAUUCAAGAAGUUCAACGCAGUAUGCACUUCGUCAGCACCCCCCGAAUGACUUUUCUCCUAUGCUGGUUUGAUAUUGGAGCCAAAACGUCGGAACAUGGAUGACAAAAUCUUCGAACAGUUGCUAUUAUUGAAGACCAAUGCUGCUUAUUUGGAUUCAGAAUGACUUUUUUCUCCGCUCAUAUUUACAAAACAAAUGAAUUAAAAUAAAAUUUAUUUAAAACAAUUUAGUA